CCUUCCGUGAUGAGCACCUCAAGACUUUCGUUCUUCUGAGCUUGCUGAAGCAACUUUCUUAUCUGAGAAGG